UACGUAGGGUGCAAGCGUUGUCCGGAAUUAUUGGGCGUAAAGAGCUCGUAGGCGGUUUGUCGCGUCUGCUGUGAAAACUCGGGGCUCAACCCCGAGCCUGCAGUCGAUACGGGCAGACUUGAGUUCGGCAGGGGAGACUGGAAUUCCUGGUGUAGCGGUGAAAUGCGCAGAUAUCAGGAGGAACACCGGUGGCGAAGGCGGGUCUCUGGGCCGAAACUGACGCUGAGGAGCGAAAGCGUGGGGAGCGAACAGG
rnacentral:rRNA from 1 species